rnacentral:rRNA from 1 species
GUUAAAGUGAGGGAAGGAGUCGGAGUAGUAUGGAAGGUGUGAGUGUGAAGCUGAGUUGCUGGGCGUAGGUGGCGCAGAGUGGGCUAGUUAAGUCGGGUGUGAGGUGCCAGGUCUCAAGCUGGGGAUGGCAUCGGGUGCUGGGGAGGUAGAAGGCGGUAGAGGGGGGUGGAAGUCCAGGUGUAGCGGUGAAACGCGUAGAUAGCUGGAGGAACACCAGUGGCGGAGGCGGCCCCCGGGACUGACAUUGACGCUGAGGUGCGAAAGCGUGGGGAUCAAACAGGAUUAGAUACCCCUGUAGUC